UUCCGGUUGAUCCUGCCGGAGGCUACCGCUAUUGGAGUUCGAUUAAGCCAUGCGAGUCGAGAGUCUUAGGGACUCGGCGUACCGCUCAGUAACACGUGGGUAACCUGCCCUAUGCUGGGGAAUAACCUCGGGAAACUGAGAAUAAUACCCUAUAGUCCACAAUGCCUGGAACGGUUUGUGGAUUAAAGCCCCGGCGGCAUAGGAUGGGCCUGCGGCGUAUCAGGUUGUAGGGGGUGUAACGUACCCUCUAGCCAUCAACGCGUACGGGUGUUGGGAGACAUAGCCCGGAGAUGGAUUCUGAGACACGAAUCCAGACCCUACGGGGUGCAGCAGGCGCGAAAACUUGGCAAUGCGAGAAAUCGUGACCAGGGAACUCCAAGUGGCUGGGGUAAGACCCAGUCUUUUCUUGACUCUUCAAAGGUCUUGGAAUAAGAGGUGGGUAAGGACGGUGCCAGCCGCCGCGGUAAUACCGGCGCCUCAAGUGGUAGUCGAUUUUAUUGGGCCUAAAACGUCCGUAGCCUGUUUGGUACAUUCGUGGGUAAAUCAACCAGCUUAACUGGUUGAAUUCUGCGAGCACGGCCAGACUUGGGACCGGGAGAGGUGUGGGGUACGCUCAGGGUAGGGGUAAAAUCCUGUCAUCCUGAGCGGACCACCUGUUGCGAAAGCGCCACACUAGAACGGAUCCGACGGUCAGGGACGAAGCCUA
rnacentral:rRNA from 1 species